rnacentral:rRNA from 1 species
UUGGAGAGUUUGAUCCUGGCUCAGGACGAACGCUGGCGGCGUGCUUAACACAUGCAAGUCGAACGGAAAGGCCCUUCGGGGUACUCGAGUGGCGAACGGGUGAGUAACACGUGGGUGAUCUGCCCUGCACUCUGGGAUAAGCCUGGGAAACUGGGUCUAAUACCGGAUAGGACCACACACUUCAUGGUGAGUGGUGCAAAGCUUUUGCGGUGUGGGAUGAGCCCGCGGCCUAUCAGCUUGUUGGUGGGGUAAUGGCCCACCAAGGCGACGACGGGUAGCCGGCCUGAGAGGGUGACCGGCCACACUGGGACUGAGAUACGGCCCAGACUCCUACGGGAGGCAGCAGUGGGGAAUAUUGCACAAUGGGCGCAAGCCUGAUGCAGCGACGCCGCGUGAGGGAUGACGGCCUUCGGGUUGUAAACCUCUUUCAGUAGGGACGAAGCGAAAGUGACGGUACCUACAGAAGAAGGACCGGCGACUACGUGCCAGCAGCCGCGGUA